rnacentral:rRNA from 1 species
GAGUAAUACAUCGGAACGUGUCCUGUUGUGGGGGAUAACUGCUCGAAAGGGUGGCUAAUACCGCAUGAGACCUGAGGGUGAAAGCGGGGGAUCGCAAGACCUCGCGCAAUUGGAGCGGCCGAUGCCCGAUUAGCUAGUUGGUGAGGUAAAGGCUCACCAAGGCGACGAUCGGUAGCUGGUCUGAGAGGACGACCAGCCACACUGGGACUGAGACACGGCCCAGACUCCUACGGGAGGCAGCAGUGGGGAAUUUUGGACAAUGGGGGCAACCCUGAUCCAGCCAUGCCGCGUGCAGGAUGAAGGCCUUCGGGUUGUAAACUGCUUUUGUCAGGGACGAAAAGGACCGUGUUAAUACCAUGGUCUGCUGACGGUACCUGAAGAAUAAGCACCGGCUAACUACGUGCCAGCAGCCGCGGUAAUACGUAGGGUGCAAGCGUUAAUCGGAAUUACUGGGCGUAAAGCGUGCGCAGGCGGUUCUGUAAGACAGAUGUGAAAUCCCCGGGCUCAACCUGGGAAUUGCAUUUGUGACUGCAGGACUAGAGUUCAUCAGAGGGGGGUGGAAUUCCAAGUGUAGCAGUGAAAUGCGUAGAUAUUUGGAAGAACACCAAUGGCGAAGGCAGCCCCCUGGG